rnacentral:ncRNA from 2 species
CGCAUCUUGUCGGAGUGCCUAUUGGCUGAGACCGUUUAUUCGGGAUCCGUUGAACCUGAUCAGGUUAAUACCUGCGAAGGAAACAAGCAUGAUAAUGUC